AAUCUUCAUAUUGUAUAUACCAGUUGCGGCAUUAUGCUGCAAUUCCACUAUAUUGUUGGAUCCCCCAAGUCACUCUUGGGACUACAAGCCUGGCUUGUAGGCAUCCAUUCUUACAACUACUACAUACUAUCAAUUUAUGAAUAUAACAUCUCGAGGGACUGGCUUAGAGCCAGGACCUCACACCCAAGACAACUCUCAACAACGGAUAUCUUGGCUCUCAGAUCGAUGAAGAACGCAGCGAAAUGCGAUACGUAGUGUGAAUUGCAGAAAUACGUGAAUCAUCGAAUUUUUGAACGCAAAUUGCGCUCGAGGCUUCGGCCAAGAGCAUGUCUGCCUCAGCGUCGGGUAUACCCCCUCACACCUUACGUAUGUGAUGUGUGGAUCUGGCUGUCUCAGUUAUCAUGUUUGAUGUAAUUGCAUUAUGUAUUUGUGAUGCAAUUCAUAAAAUGUGAGAUACGCUGGGUUGGCUGAAGUGCAGCUGCUGUACCAUGGACCAUACAACAGGUCUCUACUAGGUAGGCAAUCACUUGCUCAAUGCUUUAGUAGACGACUUGGGUGCUGUGUACCGCACGAAGCAGGAAUGCUUGUUUGCAAGCAUAUGCCAUAGUUAUAUCCUCGACCUGAGCUCAGGCAAGA
rnacentral:sRNA from 1 species